GACGAACCUGCGAACGUUGUUCGGAAUCACUGGGCUUAAAGGGCGCGUAGGCGGGCUGUCCAGUCAAGGGUGAAAUCCUGCGGCUCAACCGUAGAAGAGCCCCUGAUACUGACAGCCUCGAGGGAGGUAGGGGCGUGUGGAACUUCCGGUGGAGCGGUGAAAUGCGUAGAUAUCGGAAGGAACGCCGGUGGCGAAAGCGACGCGCCGACGUCCUACUGACGCUGAGGCGCGGAAAGCCAGGGGAGCAAACGGGG
rnacentral:rRNA from 1 species